UGCAGUCCAAGCCAUAGAGAAAUCUAGAGGGAUGAUGAUGUUGCAGGAGAGAGCCAGCUGGCUCAACCUGACAAACCUGUCACAGAGGGAGAAGGAGGACAUUUUGGACAUGCCGAUUGUGCCGAACUGCGUUUUCGGGACUGCUCUGGCUUCCAUGCAGCAGAAGUGUAAUGUAUGGAUCUACUCUAUUUAUCAGCCCAACUACAUUAAAAACGCAACAGAUGUGAGCUCCUACUGCAACAAGACCCCUUUACCUGUUUGCCUUCUGGACCACCACUUUGGUUUACAUCCUGGUUGGUUUGUUUUUCUUGUGCGGCUCUUUGGUCCUGAUGUGCUGCUGCCUGUGUUGCCGUGCUAAUCUCGACGACGAUGUUGUGUAACGACUUUUGGAAGCAAUGAGGGGACGGGACGCUGCCGAAGCAAAUAUGUUGGAAAUGCGUUCUAAAAAAAUGGCAGGGUAAGUGUGUGAUGUGGCCGUGCAUCUUGUGUUGAAAGAUGCAACCCUUUCAGUAGAUUCUCAAUUGAAAUUCUACUGUUUUCUCCUUGAUGAGCAUUUUCUAAACCUCUGCAGCAGCUACUGUUUACAGGAAUUUUAUUCUGAAAAUUAAGAACCUACACAGAUGUUUAAGAAUUUGUAUGAGAGCUGAUUCCACCAGCAAAAAUAUGUUUUGCUUUCCUAUUUGUUUCCAUGUUUGUCCCAGGAAAACACAUCUACAUUAUAAAUGUGAGGAAGGUUUUUCUCACAAGUAUCUCAGCUCGUCAUUAAACUCUUUUAGUGACGCUACAGAUAAAUAUCAGCCACCGACAUCGUUUACUGCCAUCCUAUUUGCUGAUAAACGCCCAGCAUCAGUCAGUGUCAGGAUUCAGCUGAUACAUCUGUGAAUCUGUAGAUGUGCUGUUACAUGAUGAGCCACAAAUUCGGGUUAUUGAGUGUACAUGAUGAAAUUAAAAAGUCACUUUGGUAAUGGUAUCAUUCAGGGAAUAAACAAAUACUAAA